CAGCCGCCACGGUAAUACAGAGGAUGCAAGCGUUAUCCGGAAUGAUUGGGCGUAAAGCGUCUGUAGGUGGCUUUUCAAGUCCGCCGUCAAAUCCCAGGGCUCAACCCUGGACAGGCGGUGGAAACUACCAAGCUGGAGUACGAUAGGGGCAGAGGGAAUUUCCGGUGGAGCGGUGAAAUGCGUUGAGAUCGGAAAGAACACCAACGGCGAAAGCGCUCUGCUGGGCCGACACUGACACUGAGAGACGAAAGCUAUGGGAGCAAAUGGGAUUAGAUACCCCCGUAGUCCCUGUCUCUUAUAC
rnacentral:rRNA from 1 species